rnacentral:rRNA from 1 species
UUGGAGGGCAAGUCUGGUGCCAGCAGCCGCGGUAAUUCCAGCUCCAAUAGCGUAUAUUAAAGUUGUUGCAGUUAAAAAGCUCGUAGUUGGAUUUCAAGAGUCCCAGCGUGGAUAACACGUAUGGACUCUACCAGUCUUUGACUGUUACUGUGAGAAAAUUAGAGUGUUUCAAGCAGGCUGUUGCCGGAAUACAUUAGCAUGGAAUAACGAAUGUGUCUAGAAUCUUGGUUA